CUUAUGAAGUACCUUUUGCCAGAAAAUAAAAGGACAAAGGGGAAAAAAAAAAAGCAAAAAAAAAAACCAUGAUUCUGCUUUAUUUUUAUUACUUUUAUGUCCAUGCUCUGGAAAACAAAAACCAGUACAUCUGUGUGUGUAUGUUUGUGCAUGUAUGUAUGCUGGAUUUACUCAAAUAACAAGAAGGAAAAUUAAAAGAAUUGAAGAAUCUGGGACUCGAAUUCUCUUACUUCAAUAGUGUUGCAAGGACUUAGACUGUGACAGAUACUGGCAUAUUGUCUCGCUGUGAAUGAGAGCUCUACUCUGAAGCUUCUCUGUUCCUAAACAGCAAAAUGCACUAGUCAUGAGGCACAUCUGAAGAUUUGGGAUUUGAUGUGUUAUUCUUGAUCUCUUCCUUUCCAGUGAGCAUUGCCUACCCUGUCAAAUGCCUGGCCUGCUACUGACCUUUAAUUUCACAAUAGGUUCAUGUUGACAAAUCACUCUGAAAUGAUAUCAACACAGAUACGUAACUCAUGCUAUAAGAAACAGAAAGGAGCUUUCAAAAGCUGGUGAGCACGGGAGAUAAGCAGAAGUCAUUAUGUAUAAGGGGAGAUGCACAUUCAACUGUUUGCGUGUUGGGCUGUCAUCUUCAAAUACCAUAUUAUAAUGCUAAAGCACCUUUUAUUUUAUUUUUUUCCUGAAAGCCUACUACAGUUUUGGGGUUUGUUUAUUUUUUUUGCCUUUUUCUUUUAAGUAGUCCCAUACUGUCACUCAAAUUUUGUUAGGCUGCCACCUCUAAGAUGAAAGACAGAAGAAGGAAUACAAGUGGGACACAAUACUGAACAAUCAGGGGGUAAAUGGGAUUUUUGGUUACUCUUUAACACUCCCGAUCUUUCCUAUUGCCACAGACCUCUUAUAGGAACAAAGAGGAGAUUUAGGAACUCAAUUUCAGGGUGGAUUAUAUGAUAAUCAAUUUAGGUUUCAGAGGAAAUAAAAGACAGAAGGCAGAGGGAGUUAAAGAUGACUGCCCAUAACUAAGGAAUUUCAGUCUUCAGCUUCAUACCCUUAAGAAACCCCUCUAGCAAAGUUUCCUUUUUUCAUCGCUCUUUAUGUUAUGGGGUAAACGUCUAAAGUGAUAAUUUAACCACAGAAUGUUUGUAUUAAACACAGGCCUCCUGCUCUCUAGUUUCUAUAAUUUACAACAAAGAGUUUAUUAAACACAACUCUUUCUGUCUGACAUUCAAAUCCAUCUCUGCAACACAGUCUCCUCUGGAUUUGCGCCACUGAAUGAAAUGCUAUGGAAAAACAAAAUAAACCAAAACCCUGCUGUGGAAACAGGACAAAUCUAGUUUCACAUCCCCUGCAGAGAGAGAAACAAGACGGAAGUAAAAAGCACCAAAUGGAGCUCGUAAAGCUUCACUCUGAUCUCAGCCUCCACGUUCUGGCAGAAAGCACCACCUAAGAGAUGCGCUCUGCUCCAACUGACAACAGCCUCUGAUUACAGCGUGAGCACAAAAAUAUAUUGUCUGUGAACAAUUAUCCUGAGCAAACUCUGAAUAAGGGAAAUCUGAUGACAGAAGAAGUGGAAAUGUGGUGGGAGGUGGGCUGAUCGGCCCCCUUCCUUGCCAGGGCCUUAUCUCACGCGCCAGCCAUCUGUAGUAGCUGGGCCUGCUACCACAGCUCGUGGCCGCCUCACAACCUCCCUGCUGCAGCCUGCCUGCCUCUCACGGUGCGGACAGGUGGGAAUAGCUGUGCCCAUCACAAGCCUUCCACCACAGGGGGAAGCUGUUGUGGCUCUGUGACAAAACCAGAUCCUUUCCACAGGACAUAUGCACCGAUUUACACUUGCUUUCCUUGUAGCACUCUACAUAACAGCACACAGGAAGGAAGGAGCCCAUCCUCACCCACAGGUGCCAUGUAGAAUCAAGGCAACUGGUGUUCAUUAAUUCUUUUCAUAUACACACAAAGAAAAGUAAGGUAUUUGUUUGGAAGUCACUGCCCACAACCGGGACAGAUUCCAGACAUUUUGAACCUAACACGACUUACCUAGAAAGAGAAACAUGCACACCUGUAGUGCCUUCCCAGUAUUUCUUUUGUCACAUCAUUGAAGACAGCCAACAACUCGAAAAGGGCUGUGAUUAUGGGGCAGAAGUUCUUUUGGUGAGAGAGUUACCUUUACACAGCAUCCUUACUACAUACAUACAUACGUACACAGACGGCAAAGGAAAGUAAAAGCAAAAAUCCAGACACGUUGAGGCUACCUUAGGAUCAACCUAGCUGCCAUCUUACAGGUAAAACUGCUCUUAAAUUCAGGUAGGAAACAGCUCUCCUGCAAGAGAGCUGCAAGAAUGCUUUGCCCAAAUGUGGGAAAUCCUUUAACACAAUGUAUUGCUGAAAUCCUUCCUGUGGCACCCAGAAGAUCACAUCCACUUCUGUAUCAUUGAGCUUAAUUAAUUGGUGCACUUAGCACUUUCUAUAUAUUCCUUGUUGGGCUUUUACAGGGAGAACAUACUUGAAUCUCAUGUCAUAGGAUCACACCUGUUUUAGGUUCUAGUCCUCUAUUCCACUAAAAAGAGUGAUCUGCUGAGAUUAUUUUUUCUUUUUUUGCUAAUUAAUUCAUUUGAGACUAUUCCUUAAAUUUUCAUUUUAAUGCAUUUUUGUGUGAGGGUAUUAUUAAUCACUUCUAAAGUUGUUUGCAACUGCCACAGAUUAAAAGUCUUCGCUAACAUACAUAUAUACAUUUGUUUAUUUUAGGUAUGUUUGUGUAUGUAUAUUUACAAAAAUACUAAAAAGGAAAAAAAAAAAAAACAGCUUUCUAACUGCAUCUUUCUCCCUCCUCCCUUCUCCAUUCUGAACAGGUUCCUGCUAUCAACUGCUGGAGUGUGCUCACUCUACACCUAGAGCUAUAAUUAUUUUGCUUUAAUUUUACAAAACCUUUUGUUCCAUUCCCACGAGCCCACCUGAUCCUUAUAUUACACUUGCUCUAUUAAAACACUCAUGCAGAACAAAGCACAGUUGUACUGAUUCAUAAGUAACUCGCCCCCCAACCCCCUUCUCUUUUUCUUUCUACUAGGCUUAUACCUCUGGCUGUAGUUUCAUGACACUGUUUGUAAUGCCAGUCCACAGUCCCAUUUUUGCCUUUUUCCUCCUGUUUCUUUUAAGCCUUUUUUUUUUUUUUUUUUUUUUUUUUUAAUGUGCUUAGGGUCAAAUUACACUAUUGUGUGCUGUUGUUUUGAAUUGAUGUUAUUCUCAGUCAUUUUAUGUUAUGCUCUUUGGCACAACAACAGAAAUAGUGCAGAGGGUGUUUUGGAAUUUAUUUGUUGUAGUCAGACUCUAGGAUUAUUUUUUUUAAUUAUUAUUGUUCAUACAGUACAAGCAGCAAGGAUAGCCCCACAUUUUUCUGAAGCAAGUAGAAGACCCUUUUUAGCCCAGACUCUGACUUCAGCAUACCCUAUAUGCUGGAAAAGGGUAUAAAAGCUUACCUCAAGGUGAUUCCUAUUACCUGAGCAUGGCCUGCAUACACCACCAGGCUUUACGAAAGACUAAGCAUGCUGGCAACACUUGCAAUAGGAUCUUCACAGAGGUAGUGGGCAUUUCAGAAAAAGUAACCUCUCAUAAAUUAUUGCUGAAAAAUAGGACAGAGCCCGGCUCCUCCAUAAAGAUGGGAACAAUAGAAGGGCUUUUUCAUCUAUUCGUCCUGUAAAACAACAACUUAGAGCCAAGACAGCCUUCAUUUUCUGACUUAUAAAGCACCAAGCGUGUUGCUAGGACUAAGCAAUGGAUAGAUAGUAAUCAGCCAGAACAGUGAGAAAUGGGUGUGCAUGAAAAAAAAAAAGCAGUAGCAUGAGGCAAUAAAAUUGAGUUCUCAGUAGCCAUCUUUUCAAAAUGGAGAGCAAGACAUCUGGCAGUGCCCUCCUGAACAACAGAGCUGGUAGGUGACUAUGGGAAAACAAACCGGGUGAAGGUGUAAAAGAAGGCAAGAAGGGGAAGGGAAAUGGUGUGUGCCUUUUUUCUGACAUGUCUAACAAUGGUGAAUACUAAUGAUUUAUAGAAAUGAAAGAGAAUAACAGGGAAGAAGGUAAAUGUGGCAAGGCACAGAACAAACACGGCUGUAAGGGGUACAAACGAAAGUUGCAAUUUACCAAAGAAUAACCGUUCUGCACAUUUUAUGUAGCAUGUCAAAUCUAUCAGAUAUUCUCUUAUUAAAUCAUCAUUCUACAGCAACAAUCAUUCUCUCAAUCAAUCCCCCGUGUUGUUAACUCUUAGUAAUGACUAACUUGGCAGGAACUGAUGUUUACAUAUAUUUUAAAGUCCUGAUAACUGCUCUGUAUUUUUUGGAAGGUAAAUUUCCUUUACAUUUUGUCUUUUGUUUUUUAACCUAUUUUCAAAAGAUGGACGCAUUCAAUUGGAAAAUAAAAUUUUGUAACACACACAUACAUAUAGAUUAUGUUAGCUCAGGAAAUUGGUAGUGGGAUAAGAAUAAAACCGUUCACCUCCUGAUUGCUGAUUCAAAUCUAGCCCAAGUGAGAUAGUCACAGAAGCUAUAAAACUCCCAUGGUGGCUUUGUGAUUUGAGAUUAUUUUUUUAUGAAUCUCAAUCCACUUUAGGCCAAAAACCAGCAUCACAAACCCACUGCCUCAAUGAGCAUUAACUAGCAUCACUGCACACAGUAACGUAGGGAGAUGCCAAAAAACUAAACUGGUCCAUGACAAAGAGUUCCCACUUUAUUGUGGGAACUUUCCAUUAAAAGACAGGGUUGGUGCAUACAAAUGUGCAGCAUGAACAGAGAAGUACAGCUCUCUCUCUAUAUCAAACAGGAAACAAACCAGCCCCCCUGUAGUCAAAUCAGCUAAGAGAUGCACCAUUUACCUGAAAUGUGAACUGUUUCUCCAAGAGAUCAGGAGUCCUAAAUUUUCUUCAAAGCUUCUGGUUUGAUAGGAAGUCCCUGUUUCACUUCAGAGCCAAGAGCAGAGGACAGGAGAAUUACACAAAUGUUUUCUAUCACAAUUACUGAGGAGGAUGUGCAGCAAGCUUAUGCAUUCCUCACCCCUUAAAAUCAAAGGGGGCACAGACAGUAACCACAAGCUUUGGUUAUUCUCUGGUCUACUUCUCCUGCCUAGAUGGGAGGAACAACUGAGGCAUUUGAUUUUGCAGAAUACUAACCCUGAGGAGGGUUGUGUUGCACCUUUUACUUUAUUAUGGACAUGACUGGUUAACUGAUGAUUAGGAAAGCUGUUGCACUAAACAAAAAUCCUACUACAGCCAACAAAACAGUGAUGCUCAGGCAUAUUCCCCGUGGCUCUUUCUUCUAGGGAGCAUAAAUCAUCAGAGUCCCUCAGGAACUACUUACACCAGUUUCCUCCCUUAGAUACGUUUGCUAACCUGAGGGGCUAAAGGUCUCAGGACUCGAGUAGAUUUAAGAUUUCCUACCAUCUGUGCUGAAGUGUAGCCAAUGCAAAUUCUACCUUCAGAUCUGCACUCCAGUGCCUCCCUGUUAUGUUUCAUUUCACACUUAUGAUCUUUAUUCCUUAGAAACAGGAAAAAUGCACAGCUGAUGAGACGUUUGCAUGCAGCUUGAAAUUGUUCCUUCAGUGGAUGCUGCUUGGACGUGCACUUUAUGCAAAGGGAAGCGAGAUGAGGAACAGAACUGCAUUUUAAAUGGACAAAUAUUCCACAUGCUACACAGGGACUUGGAGAAACAAGUAGCUCUCUUCAAUGUUUUCAGAGACAUCACUUGAAGUAUUCAUAGAUACAAUGUGAAAUAAUAGGUGAGAAGUUGAGACAUUUUCCUUUUCUUUUGCUAUCUAUUCAUUUUUUCUAAUUGAACAAAUGUGGGUUUGAUGUCUUUUUCCACAAUCACAAAAUAUUUUAAAAGGAAUAGCCAAAGUUUUAUAAGGAUACCUGUGAAUACAUAAACAAACAUACAACUUGUUUAUGCUUCCAUCACAGGAGCUCUAGUAAAAUCAAUGAAAGAAUUCUAAAGGUAUCUAAAUACAGAGAAUAAGUACAACUAAAUUCAGCUGAUAAACUGGAAGAAACAGAAACAACAGCCAACAAUGCUAUUAAUUACUUGUGGGGGAAAGCACAUCUUCUAUAUGAAUUUAAACUUAAGAUCUGAUAUAGAGAGAGAUUAUUUUACUUAGGAGAUGUUAGGUUAUUAAUGCUGGUCCACAGCAGAGAAUUCAUAUACACACUGCAUCUUUUUAAACCUACAGAAGCUGUUUGAAGUCUGUUUUGGGGAAUCUCCAGAGCGAACCAAUUUGCCAAGGGAACUUGGAUGUCUGUGGAAAUACACAUUACUUGAAGCCAUAAAUUACAAGAUGGCUAAAUCUACUGAAGCAUGGAAACAGUACUUCAGCCCAACAGAUAGAAUUUUACCAAAAACAAAAAGAGAUCACUCUCAGAAUACCCAGUAGAUAACUUCAGCUCUCAUUUAACACGAAGUUUUAUGGGUACUAACUACACUUCAAAAACCUCUUGUGAACUUGCUUGGUGUUACUGGGAGAGCAGAUUAUACCAGUGAUCAAGAGAAUGCAAAAUCUAAGUAUGCUUCAAUCUGCCAUGCCACUUCCAAGAAAAAAGGUAGUGCUAGAAAAGCACAGAAGCAGGAGUUCUGUGCAUCUCUCACAUUGAACUACUAUGCAAUGUGACGCUGUCCAUCUGCAGUCUGAAGAGUAAAUCUGGGCUCUCAUGAGUCUUAACCUCUGAGGAAGCUGAGAUCUCUUCUGAGAGCUGGUUUAACUUAUUUAAUAACUAACACACUGAGCUUAUAAGCACUGGGAUUUAACAGCUUUCUUCAGUGACUACACCCAUGUUGGAACCUCAUCAUUUUGUAUAGCAAGUGACCCAUCAGCUUUGAGAGUCUGCCAAGAGUCAGAGAACACAGGUGUUAACCAUGACAAGGUGUUUACCAGCAUGGUUGAUAACAUAAACAGUAGGGAGGGGGGAAGUUCAUAUAUUUCCUACGAGAGAACGUUUCAGAUGAAGAAAGAGUACCCGAAGACAAGAUGCUGGCAUAUACAGAUCCCAGACCCAGCCUUGACAUAGUAUCUGAGUGUAGAUCAGGAUUUGUAUUUUACAAUCAGUUUCACAUGUUCUAAUUGGUUUCUCAAGCUGCACAGAGAGCAGAGGAAGUUCACUUAGACAUACAGAAGGAGACAAUAGUAAACUUUUGAAAAAACAUUAUAGAGAAUAAUUGUGCUCUGGAGGAUUUAUUUAUUUACUAACAUAAACAGUACACACUGAGAUAACAUCUGGCGAUGUUUACUACAAUGAAACCCAAUCAAUACUUCCGUCUACUACAAUAUCUGUCCGCAAAACAGUCAUUCCUCCUGGCACUCACAACAAAUACUCAUCUAUCUAUUAUAGUAGCCUUUGUCAGCAAAAAGAGAGGUGAUCACCUUAAUUCUGUUUGAAAUCCAACAUCCAACAGAAUACAGAAAAUCAGAUGUACCUGGAUACAAAAACAAUGUCGGAAAACCAGAGAGAGAUGCAGCUUGUAGCAUGGCAAAAUUCAUACUUACAGCAUUUAAACAUGCAACAGAUCCCAGAUAUUUUCUUUUUUUUUUUUUUUCUUUUUUUUUUUUUUUAAUGAGCCUGGAGGUUUAAAGUUUGGACAUUCCUUUCCUUCUGCUAGUAAGCUAAUGAGCCUUUUGUUGCAUUUUAGAGAUACAAGUAAAAUCAGAAAGUUUGACUUCUCAUUUCCUUUCGAAGUCAGAAUUCAAAAAGAAGCAACACUGAGCUUUUCCACAGAAUUGAGAAGUCAGAAAUGAAUCCAUCAAGGUUUCGAUGUAAGCCUUCAUAUUGUUCUAUAUUUUUGUAUUUGCAUUAUUACUUGUCCCUGUAGAAAGACUGUUCUGUAUCACUGAAGCACAGCCACUAAGCAUUACUUUAGUACCCACUGAACCUUUACCUUUCUUAGACUCGUGCCCCUUCCAGUCCAAGAAACAGAUUACCAUGCAGUGUCAUGCAUCACUACUAUUUAUAGGUAAUGAAAUUAAGCAAAAAAUAACAAGACCACACAAUAGAUAGAAAACAAAACAAACAAACAAAACCUCUGAUUUUCUCUUCACAAAUUUUAAAUUGAUAAAACUUUUAUUUUUACAGUCCAAAGAAAAACAAUAUGCCUGAAUAAAGUGACUAUAUAUAAAGUAAAUGUACAUUUGCCCCUCUUUAAUUUCACAUCUUGCUAUCUCACUGUGCAAGCUACUUCUAUUUGUACAGGGCCUGAAGGUAAAACAUGACCUUCCGUGCUAUACCAAAUCCUCAGGAAAGAGAUAUGUUCGGAAGAUAUUGUAGUGAUAUGUUACCCUUUUCCCAGACAAAAAAAAAAACAAAAAAAACUUCUCUUUGACAAGAUAGUUGGGGUUGUAGUUAUGAAGUAGGGAGAGCAGAGAGGCAAGAGGACACAAUUUGUUUUCUUCUCUUCUGGUAGAGAUCUACAGGGCAGCGAAGGGCUCAUUUUAGCCUGGACUAGCAAACUAUCAGUGAUGGUUAGCCCAGCAGUAGAGGAAGCUGUGUGCAACAGCAGUCCCUGUAAUUUGCACUAGGUAAGAUUUGCAUUAACAUUUUCUGUUUAGCUUCUUACAGUUUAUUGCUUUCUGUCCAACUGCAGUCCUACCAUAACCUAAAGUUCUUCAGGAAGUGGCCAGUAAGGAAUGAACUAUGGAAGAAGCUUAACAUUGAAGAGAUAGUAGUGAACUGGACAAAAACACAGAAAUGGACCAAUAGCAAAAAUCCCACUGAAGUAAUGAGAGGCCCUACUGAAAGGACAAUAGAAACCAUCCAUCUUUAUUGUCAGUAGAAGCACACAAAUUAGCACUAGACUUGCAAAUACACAGAAUGCUUGAGCUAGUUUUAAGCAUGAAGACUGGGAUUACAGACUCUAGGAAUGAGCUCCGUCAAUUCUUCUAAAUUUAAACAAAGACAGGCCAGCACACACUCACUCAGUUUUGAAAACUCCACACUGAAAUUAUCAGCACGGGAGUCUCCA
rnacentral:lncRNA from 1 species